GCUUACAGCCAUAUCACAUUGAAAGCACUGGUUCUCAUCCGAUCACCAAAGUUAAGCAAUGUUGAACCUAGUUAGUACUUAGAUGGGUGACCGCUUGGGAAACCUAAGUGCUGUAAGUU
rnacentral:rRNA from 1 species